rnacentral:rRNA from 1 species
CCUACGGGUGGCAGCAGUGAGGAAUAUUGGUCAAUGGACGAGAGUCUGAACCAGCCAAGUAGCGUGAAGGCUGACUGCCCUCUGUGUUGUACACUUCUUUUAUAUGGGAAUAAAAUGUUCCACGUGUGGGAUUUUGUAUGUACCAUAUGAAUAAGGAUCGGCUAACUCCGUGCCAGCAGCCGCGGUAAUACGGAGGAUCCGAGCGUUAUCCGGAUUGAUUUGGUUUAAAGGGAGCGUAGGUGGAUUGUUAAGGCAGUUGGGAAAGUUUGCGGCUAAACCGUAAAAUUGCAUUUGAACCUGGCAGUCUUGAGUACAGUAGAGGUGGGCGGAAUUCGUGGUGUAGCGGUGAAAUGCUUAGAUAUCACGAAGAACUCCGAUUGCGAAGGCAGCUCACUGGACUGCAACUGACACUGAGGCUCGAAAGUGUGGGUAUCAAACAGGAGUAGAUACCCGAGUAGUC